UGGGGAAUCUUGCGCAAUGGGCGGAAGCCUGACGCAGCGACGCCGCGUGGGGGAUGAAGGCCCUCGGGUUGUAAACCCCUUUCGGCAGGGAAGAAGCGAAAGUGACGGUACCUGCAGAAGAAGCCCCGGCUAACUACGUGCCAGCAGCCGCGGUAAGACGUAGGGGGCGAGCGUUGUCCGGAUUUAUUGGGCGUAAAGCGCGCGUAGGCGGCCGCUCAAGUCGGAUGUGAAAACCCAGGGCUCAACCCUGGGCCUGCAUCCGAUACUGGGCGGCUCGAGGCAGGCAGGGGAGAGUGGAAUUCCUGGUGUAGCGGUGAAAUGCGCAGAUAUCAGGAGGAACACCGGUGGCGAAGGCGGCUCUCUGGGCCUGUCCUGACGCUCAGGCGCGAAAGCUAGGGGAGCAAACAGG
rnacentral:rRNA from 1 species